GAUGAACGCUAGCGGCAGGCUUAAUACAUGCAAGUCGAGGGGCAGCAUAAGUAGCAAUACUUGAUGGCGACCGGCAAACGGGUGCGGAACACGUACAGAACCUUCCUUCGAGCGGGGAAUAGCCCGGAGAAAUCCGGAUUAAUACCCCAUAGUAAAUUGAAAAGGCAUUCUUUUUAAUUUUAAAGAUUUAUCACUUGAAGAUGGCUGUGCGCCUGAUUAGGUAGUUGGCGGGGUAACGGCCCACCAAGCCUUCGAUCAGUAACUGGUGUGAGAGCACGACCAGUCACACGGGCACUGAGACACGGGCCCGACUCCGUACGGGAGGCAGCAGUAAGGAAUAUUGGUCAAUGGACGCAAGUCUGAACCAGCCAUGCCGCGUGGAGGAUGAAGGU
rnacentral:rRNA from 1 species